CAAGAGCGUAUGUAAAAGUUGUUGCAGUUAAAAAGCUCGUAGUUGAACCUUGGGUUUGGUUGGCCGGUCCGCUUUUUUGCGAGUACUGGAUUCAACCGAGCCUUUCCUUCUGGCUAACCAGUCGUUUCGGCGGCUGGCGAACCAGGAUUUUUACUUUGAGAAAAUUAGAGUGUUCAAAGCAGGCAUUAGCUUGAAUAUACUAGCAUGGAAUAAUAGAAUAGGACGUUAUGGUUCUAUUUUGUUGGUUUCUAGGACCAUCGUAAUGAUUAAUAGGGACGGUCGGGGGCAUCAGUAUUCAGUUGUCAGAGGUGAAAUUCUUGGAUUUACUGAAGACUAACUACUGCGAAAGCAUUUGCCAAGGACGUUUUCAUUAA
rnacentral:rRNA from 1 species